rnacentral:sRNA from 1 species
GAUGAGACCAUUUUCGUAUAUCCUGACCACCACAAUGUUAUUAGAGCAAAAACGAUAAGCCGGACAGUUUGGCACGAUUAAUUCGUAUAUCUUUCGGUUGUUCCAUUUGUUGACAUUUCUAGGCAAGUGAUUCUAGCUCAAAGGAGGUUUAUUUAGAAGAAAGAAAAGCAAAAACGAUAAGCCGGACAGUUUGGCACGAUUAAUUCGUACCGAACCGCAUCAUAUCACUUUUGUAAAUAAUUUUCCUCAGAAUUGGUUCUACUGAACUCUAAAUAAAAUCUGAUGACAAAAAAAA